rnacentral:rRNA from 1 species
UACGAAGGGGGCUAGCGUUGCUCGGAAUCACUGGGCGUAAAGCGCACGUAGGCGGAUCUUUAAGUCAGGGGUGAAAUCCUGGAGCUCAACUCCAGAACUGCCUUUGAUACUGAGGACCUUGAGUCCGGGAGAGGUGAGUGGAACUGCGAGUGUAGAGGUGAAAUUCGUAGAUAUUCGCAAGAACACCAGUGGCGAAGGCGGCUCACUGGCCCGGUACUGACGCUGAGGUGCGAAAGCGUGGGGAGCAAACAGG